UACAGAGGUCUCAAGCGUUGUUCGGAUUCAUUGGGCGUAAAGGGCGCGUAGGCGGCGGGGUAAGUCGGGUGUGAAAUCUCAGAGCUCAACUCUGAAACUGCACUCGAUACUGCUCUGCUUGAGGACUGGAGAGGAGACUGGAAUUCACGGUGUAGCAGUGAAAUGCGUAGAUAUCGUGAGGAAGACCAGUGGCAAAGGCGGGUCUCUGGACAGUUCCUGACGCUGAGGCGCGAAGGCCAGGGGAGCAAACGG
rnacentral:rRNA from 1 species